rnacentral:rRNA from 1 species
UACGUAGGGUGCGAGCGUUAAUCGGAAUUACUGGGCGUAAAGCGUGCGCAGGCGGUUUUGUAAGCCGGAUGUGAAAUCCCCGGGCUUAACCUGGGAAUGGCAUUGGAAACUGGCUCGCUGGAGUGUGGCAGAGGGGGGUGGAAUUCCGCGUGUAGCAGUGAAAUGCGUAGAGAUGCGGAGGAACACCGAUGGCGAAGGCAGCCCCCUGGGCUAACACUGACGCUCAGGCACGAAAGCGUGGGGAGCAAACAGG